GGUUAUUAUGAAAAACGAAACUCGUUCAAAAUAACGCUUAUUCGUUAAAUUGCGAUUAGAAAAAACGAUUGUAGUGGCACUAAAUCGUCAAAUUGCGAUUAAGAAAAACGAGAAUCGUAAAAAUGACGAUACUCGUAUUUUUAUUUACGAGUGCCUUCAGCUUUCGUUUUGGGGGUAGAUGUCAAAUCUCAUUUAUUUUUUUGUUUUGUUAAGUGCGCAAAAAAAUGCCUACAACUAAUGCUAAGCAGUUGGAUUUGCUGGUAGCUUUUAUGGAAACCAAUCCAAACAUAGCAAAAAAUUACUUGCCGACGAGCCAAGCCAAAGCCAAAUCCAAAAUUCUUUGGAAGGCUUUGACUGAUAAGCUAAAUUCAUGCGGUCCUCCAGAGAAACCAAUGGAUGGUUGUGUUUAUGAUUAAUUCUGUUCUUCGUUAGGUAUGGAAAGAUUUUAGGUACAAUCUUAAGCGCAAAAUGCGUGGAAGGCUCAUUGGGUUCGAUGAAUCUCUUAAAACUCUUCUUUUUAUACGCAUUUCCUCUUCUUCGUUAGUUUGGGAUUCAUCUUCGCUUUCAAGGAAAUAGUCGCAGUGAAAAAACAUUUUAUAGAAUUUAUGCAAAUUACAUUUAUUUUUGAAACUUC